AUGGCUGAGUUGUUGUAGGCCAUAAUGGCUGAGUUGCUGUAGGAGAUCUCCGAGUUGAUAUGCGUGACGACGCAUUGUGUGCUGAUUGCUGAUUAUGCUGUAAGAUCGAUGAGUUGUAUGCUGAAGAUGUGUGCUGUUAUGGCUAAAUAAUGUGGUACUUUAAAUGAAUUUUGUUAAGUUGAUUGAUGUGUUGAAGUGCUGUGCUGUGCUGUGCUGGGUUGUGCUGAGUUGGGGGAUAUUAUAGCCGCUAAGUCGGUGCUGUUGUUAGCCACAUAUGUGGUGCUGAUUCUAACCGCUAAGGCAGUGCUGAUAUUGCCGCAUUGCGGUGCUGAUAUUGUUGAGUGGUAUAAGCUGUAUAAAGCAGGGAUAGGUGGGCGUCUAAGGAUGAGUCUUCGGCGGACCAGUAGAGCUGAUCGUUUUUGUGACUAUUUUGUUAUGUAGCUACUUGGGAUAGUAGCAUUGAUUGGACUUUGUGUUGUACACUCUAACUCUAGUCGGAUAGAGACUUUGUAUAUAUUUAUAUUCUAGAUCCUAUAUUUAUAUACUUGUCCUUUCUGUCUGGC